rnacentral:rRNA from 1 species
CAGCUAAUACCGCAUAACGUCGCAAGACCAAAGAGGGGGACCUUCGGGCCUCUUGCCAUCGGAUGUGCCCAGAUGGGAUUAGCUAGUAGGUGGGGUAACGGCUCACCUAGGCGACGAUCCCUAGCUGGUCUGAGAGGAUGACCAGCCACACUGGAACUGAGACACGGUCCAGACUCCUACGGGAGGCAGCAGUGGGGAAUAUUGCACAAUGGGCGCAAGCCUGAUGCAGCCAUGCCGCGUGUAUGAAGAAGGCCUUCGGGUUGUAAAGUACUUUCAGCGAGGAGGAAGGUGUUGUGGUUAAUAACCGCAGCGAUUGACGUUACUCGCAGAAGAAGCACCGGCUAACUCCGUGCCAGCAGCCGCGGUAAUACGGAGGGUGCAAGCGUUAAUCGGAAUUACUGGGCGUAAAGCGCACGCAGGCGGUCUGUCAAGUCGGAUGUGAAAUCCCCGGGCUCAACCUGGGAACUGCAUCCGAAACUGGCAGGCUAGAGUCUUGUAG